rnacentral:rRNA from 1 species
AUGGACCUGUGCACCGAUGACCUGUUCGCCGAGGACCUGUGCACCGGAGAGACCUAUUCGCCAUGGACUUGUCACGGGCUACGUCGUCGCGAGCUCCGGUUCGACCGCGUCAUCUCCACCGGAAACCAAAGCGCCAGACCUAUACACCGCAGUCGGAGCGCCAUAGACCUGUGCAUCAGAGAGACAUGCUCACAAUGGACUUGUCUCGGGCUACAUCGUAGCAAGCUCCGGUUCGACCACGUCGUCUCCACUGGAAACCAAAGCGCCCCACCGCGAUUGGGACGCCAUAGACUUGUGCACCGGGGAGACCUGUUCGCCAUGGACUUGACUUGGGCUACGUCGUUGCGACGGUUCUGCCACGCCGUCUCCUCCUGGAAGCCGGUGUCCCGUUCACCAUGA